CUCUCAAUACGUCAAGGUGACACUAACGGGGACGUCCAGAAACAUCAGAAGAAUAGUACACCAAUUGUCUGACAUUUAUGAUUGUAUACGUAAAGAUUUUAUCUUUGCUGAAUUUAUACAGUGUAUGUAUAUAUAUAUAUGUAUAUAUCUUUAUAUAUAUAUAUACGUAUUUUCAUGUUGGUCGGGUGGAUUGAGCUGAACAGCCAAUCCCACAGACUGUGAGUGAAACCAGAACGACUUCUGAAGGGUAGAGUCUGCUCGCUGCGUAUUGCUCUCGCCGUGUUUAUUUUCACCGAUAAAGAACAACGUCAUCGUUUCCAUCCCGUUCUGAUCUUUGUCCGGAGUAAUGGCAGCGUUGACGUUGUUGUUCUUAGUGAGAACAAACAGUUCAGGAGCGUUCUACAGCGUGCGGUCUCUGAACACAUCGUAGCUCACUUUUCCGUCAGCCUGCGUUGUGUUUCUACAGCAGCCAGUCAGACACCGUGUGGAUCUGAAACCUUCACAGACACCUUCUCUAAGAGCGUCUGUGUCCAGAGACACCAUGUGAUGGCUUAACAGCUCUCGCUGUUAACAAAUUAUGCGCCAAUAGCUCCCCGCCUCCAGCCCCUUGAUGGUCAAAACAAAUAUGAGGCGAAAGAAAGUGGAAUGCCCCGUUCUCCCCAGAUUGGAGCUAGUCUGAUCAGGCUAGAUAUUUCGAUAUAUUUAUUCAUUUAAACUCUAAUUUGUGAGUAAGUGAUAUCCACGACUUGAUCGGAAGCUAAACGGUAAAUGGUAGUAAACGAUAAACAUUAAAACUUGGACUUCUCCUGUCUCGGCACCCAUGUCUUUUAACACAUAAGUCACUUAGCCCCCAAGUCACUUAGCCCCCAAGUCACUUAGCCCCCAAGUCACUUAGCCCCCAAGUCACUUAGCAGCCAAGUCACUUAGCAGCCAAGUCACUUAGCAGCCAAGUCACUUAGCACCCAAAGUCACUUAGCACCCAAAGUCACUUAGCACCCAAAUCACUUAGCACCCGAGUCACUUAGCCCCCAAGUCACUUAUCCCCCAAGUCACUUAGCACCCAAGUCACUUAGCAGCCAA